GCUAGUGCUCUCCACAUGUGUUGCUCCCUGGAUCAGCUGUAGUCUCUCUGCUGCUCACUACCAGAUCAUCAGAGUAUUCUCUUGAAUGUUUCCAUCCAUUCUCAUUGGUCUGUUGACCUGUUUUCUUCCUUCCUGGAGUUUUUGUAUCUGCCUGCGCCAGCCUGGUAACACGGGUUUUAAACUUCGGACUGUUAUAACGGAUUGGAUUUGGAUUCUGGACCAAACUUGUUAUUUCCUUAUUGGGUGGAUUGACCACUUAACCUCCUGGAGAUCCCUGUUUGGAUCACAGUAACCGAGCCCUGUUAAUCCUCUAGUUCUCAUUGCAGCAAUUUCCUGUUCAGCAGUUGCUCGCAGCUCCCUGGAGGAGAUCCCUGAUCAGGAUCCCAUCACCUCUGCUGAAGAACCGACUGCCAAGGACCGGAUAUAACUUUUCAUUCACCUGAACACAUUAAAUUCUUAUUCAUCCCAUCCUAAGGUCUCUGGUCUUUUGUGGGUCCUAUCUGCUGAACCAUUACACCUAUCCCAGCCGCUUCAAACCUGGCUGCGAAUUGCUCCAGUGAGAGCUGAAGAUCAUGACCCGAUGAAGCCAGCAGAACCACAUCAUCUGCAAAGAGUAGAGACCCAAUCCUGAGGCCACCAAACAGGAUCCCCUCAAGACCUCGGCUGCACCUAGAAAUUCUGACCAUAAAAGUUAUGAACAAAGUCCAUAAAGCGCAUAUAGACUGGUUGGGUGAACUCCAAUCGAUUUCUCCUGUACAGAACGAACCAUCACCCACCCGAUCGCUGAUGGGUAGGUGCAUUCGCUCCAACCUGCCAGUAAAUGAGGACUUAGUGAAGCAAAGUGCACACAAGUCGAAAAAGCAAAAGAGGAACAAACAGCUGUAUGACCGAACGGCGAAACACCUGCCUAAGCUGAAGCCUGGAGACAUGGUGCAUCUCAGGGACAUCUCUACGAGUACAUGGAGGCGACAGGGCAGGUGGAGGAAGAAGUUGCUCCUCACUCCUACAGGAUCCAGAUGGAGAAUGGAUCGUCUUCGAGGAGGAACAACAUUCAUCUUCAACUACAGCAGACUGAAAAGGACCCAGCAGCUCAGGAGACGGUUCAGCAGGACUCGGCUGAAUCUGCAUCGCUACCUAACGGUCCCAGCCAUUGUUGCCACCUGAAGUGUUUGAGAAGGAUGAUGUCUACCCUCGUCGUCGUAGGAAACAAGUUCAAUAUAUGUCUGUUUUGGAAGCGAUAGGUGAAGGAAUAUUCCUGGUCUUCAGAAACUUUGUUGCAGGAGACCUCGUGAUUCUUGUGGAUGAUAUGGCCCUUCACGAUUCUUGGAUUACUGGAAGAAUCAUGGAUACUGUUAUGGACAAAAAUGGACUAGUGUGUAGCGUGCGGAUUAAAGCCAAUCUUCCAUGAAGAUCCUUGGAUAUGUUCCAUAUGGACAUGAACUUUGAACUUUUACUUUGUUUGGAUGUUUACUUACAGGAACUGAUUUGACUCUAUUGGACUGGUUUUACAAAGCCUAAUUUGAAGGACUUUUGGUGAUGGUUCUAUUGAUUGUUGUUUGUGUAUGUCUCCUACAAGGUAAUGGUGGUGGUGAAAUUAUUUUAUUGAAAUAAUUUGGGGUCGGAAUUUCGGAGCCAUAUGUACAUACGUGGUGACAUCACCAGUGAUUGUAGGUGGCGCCGUGGGUGUGUUGGCUUCAUUAAUGGGUACACUCACCUGUGUCGGGUUUGGUUCUGGAGCAUGGAGGCAGGGUGAGCUUGGGGAGAAAUUUUCUAUUGCCCGUCAUCUAAAUGCAUGGUUUUUAUAUAUCUUUGCACACUUUGAAGAUCAUCAAUCGAAGUUAAGUGCUUGCUUCUAAAGAUUGUGAUGUUGGAUAUAAAACAAUAAAACAUUGUGACAUGUGCACUGGUUUAGAAUGACGUGUCUUUGAUGC